rnacentral:rRNA from 1 species
UGGGGAAUAUUGGACAAUGGGCGAAAGCCUGAUCCAGCAAUACCGCGUGUGUGAAGAAGGCCUGAGGGUUGUAAAGCACUUUCAAUAGGAAGGAAUACCUAGUCGCGAAUACCGACUAGACUGACAUUACCUAUACAAGAAGCACCGGCUAACUCCGUGCCAGCAGCCGCGGUAAUACGGAGGGUGCAAGCGUUAAUCGGAAUUACUGGGCGUAAAGCGUGCGUAGGCGGUUCGUUAAGUUAGAUGUGAAAGCCCUGGGCUUAACCUGGGAACUGCAUUUAAAACUGGCGAACUAGAGUUUAAGAGAGGGGAGUGGAAUUUCAGGUGUAGCGGUGAAAUGCGUAGAGAUCUGAAGGAACACCAGUGGCGAAGGCGACUCCCUGGCUUAAAACUGACGCUG